rnacentral:rRNA from 1 species
ACGAGUGGCGGACGGGUGAGUAACGCGUAGGAAUCUGCCCAGUAGUGGGGGACAACCCGGAGAAAUCCGGGCUAAUACCGCAUACGCCCUACGGGGGAAAGGAGGGGAUCUCUUCGGAGACCUUUCGCUAUUGGAUGAGCCUGCGUCGGAUUAGCUUGUUGGUAGGGUAACGGCCUACCAAGGCGACGAUCCGUAGCUGGUCUGAGAGGACGAUCAGCCACACUGGGACUGAGACACGGCCCAG